GGUGGUGUGGUGUAAUGGUAGCACGUGGUGUUGUGGUUUCACCUCCCUCGGGAGGGUCCUCACGAUUCAGAGUUCCUUAAUCGGCUCAACAAUCUCCGCUUCAAUCUGGGUUCGAUUCCCAGCACCGCCA